UACGAAGGGGCUAGCGUUGCUCGGAAUUACUGGGCGUAAAGCGCACGUAGGCGGCUCUUUAAGUCGGGGGUGAAAUCCUGGAGCUCAACUCCAGAACUGCCUUCGAUACUGAAGAGCUUGAGUCCGGGAGAGGUGAGUGGAACUGCGAGUGUAGAGGUGAAAUUCGUAGAUAUUCGCAAGAACACCAGUGGCGAAGGCGGCUCACUGGCCCGGUACUGACGCUGAGGUGCGAAAGCGUGGGGAGCAAACAGG
rnacentral:rRNA from 1 species